CUUGAACGCUGGCGGCAUGCUUUACACAUGCAAGUCGGACGAGUGGCGAACGGGUGCAUAAGGCACCGGAACGUACGGAGUAAGGGGGGAUAACUGUCCGAAAGGACAGCUAAUACAGCAUAUUAUUCGAGGGGCCGAGGUACGAUUAGCUGGUUGGCGGGGUAAAGGCCCACCAAGGCGACGAUCAGUAGCGGGUCUGAGAGGAUGAUCCGCCACACUGGGACUGAUACACGGCCCAGACUCCUACGGGAGGCAGAAGUGGGGAAUUUUGGCCAAUGGGCGCAAGCCUGAUCCAGCCAUGCCGCGUGUCUGAAGAAGGCCUUCGGGUUGUAAAGGACUUUUGUCAGGGAAGCGGUACCUGAAGAAUAAGCACCGGCUAACUACGUGCCAGCCGCCGCGGUAAUAC
rnacentral:rRNA from 1 species